GGUUCGCUUGGGAAUAGGUAUUCUCCAGUAAUGACAUUGAAAUUGAAGCGAUUGUUAUUGCUUGAGAAUACAAAUUGUCAAAGAGAACCGAGUACCUGCCA